rnacentral:tRNA from 1 species
GAAGCGGUAGCAAAGUAGAUAUGCGACUGGCUGCAACCCAGUAAACGUCGGUGCGAUUCCGACCCGCUUCUCCA